rnacentral:rRNA from 1 species
GACGAACGCUGGCGGCGUGCCUAAUACAUGCAGGUUGAGCGCUGAAGGUUGGUACUUGUACCAACUGGAUGAGCAGCGAACGGGUGAGUAACGCGUGGGGAAUCUGCCUUUGAGCGGGGGACAACAUUUGGAAACGAAUGCUAAUACCGCAUAAAAACUUUAAACACAAGUUUUAAGUUUGAAAGAUGCAAUUGCAUCACUCAAAGAUGAUCCCGCGUUGUAUUAGCUAGUUGGUGAGGUAAAGGCUCACCAAGGCGAUGAUACAUAGCCGACCUGAGAGGGUGAUCGGCCACAUUGGAACUGAGACACGGCCCAAACCCCUACGGGAGGCAGCAGUAGGGAAUCUUCGGCAAUGGACGAAAGCCUGACCGAGCAACGCCGCGUGAGUGAAGAAGGUUUUCGGAUCGUAAAACUCUGUUGUUAGAGAAGAACGUUGGUGGAAGUGAAAAUGCACUCAAUGGCGGUAAACAACCAAAAAAGGAAGGGUAAAUUAGGG